rnacentral:misc_RNA from 1 species
GUUAAAGGUGAUUCGCAGAUGCCAAAACCCUCGCCGAUGAGCUCCGAUCGCUCGCCUAGGGAGGAUUGUGCGUCCAUGACCGAUCACGAGCUCGAGGACGCAAUUAAGAGGCAUAAGUUCAAUAUUGCAAAAUUUGGUCCCUCUUUGCCUGACAAAGGGGAGAAGCUUCGGGCGUGGUUUAACGUCUUGGAGAAUGAGCACCAGCGGAGAAAGCUUCGACGUUCAGAAAUGGAUGUUGAUGUAUGUGAGAUACCCACUCAGUUAGUAAAUUCAGAUGGCUUUAAACGACAGAAUGCAUCAUCUGAAGUCCAUUCACAAUCUGAAUUUGCGUCUAUUUUUAGUAGAAAGAUGGAAGAAAAUACAGAUAGCAAGGUAGGCAAAGCAUUUGA